rnacentral:rRNA from 1 species
ACACAUGCAAGUCGAACGGAGUUUACAGGCAGAAGUUUUCGGAUGGAAGCUUGUAAACUUAGUGGCGGACGGGUGAGUAACACGUGAGCAACCUGCCUAUCAGAGGGGGAUAACGAUUGGAAACGAUCGCUAAUACCGCAUGACAUAGCGGAACCGCAUGGUUCUGUUAUCAAAGAUUUUAUCGCUGAUAGAUGGGCUCGCGUCCGAUUAGAUAGUUGGUGGGGUAACGGCCUACCAAGUCGACGAUCGGUAGCCGGACUGAGAGGUCGAACGGCCACAUUGGGACUGAGACACGGCCCAGACUCCUACGGGAGGCAGCAGUGGGGGAUAUUGCACAAUGGGGGAAACCCUGAUGCAGCGACGCCGCGUGAGGGAAGACGGUCCUCUGGAUUGUAAACCUCUGUCUUCGGGGACGAAACGAGACGGUACCCGAGGAGGAAGCCGCGGCUAACUACGUGCCAGCAGCCGCGGUAAUACGUAGGUGGCAAGCGUUGUCCGGAAUUACUGGGUGUAAAGGGAGCGUAGGCGGGCAGGCAAGUCAGGCGUGAAAUAUAUCGGCUCAACCGGUAACGGCGCUUGAAACUGCAGGUCUUGAGUGAAGUAGAGGUUGGCGGAAUUCCUAGUGUAGCGGUGAAGUGCGUAGAUAUUAGGAGGAACACCAGUGGCGAAGGCGGCCAACUGGGCUUUUACUGACGCUGAGGCUCGAAAGUGUGGGGAGCAAACAGGAUUAGAUACCCUGGUAGUCCACACCGUAAACGAUGAUUACUAGGUGUGGGGGGACUGACCCCUUCCGUGCCGGAGUUAACACAAUAAGUAAUCCACCUGGGGAGUACGGCCGCA